UUAGGUGUAUAAUAUAUACAAAUAUACAGUAUAACUACUGUAAAGGUAGGUCCGUGACUCAGUCCAAAAUCCAAAUAUUCAUGUUACAUAUCAAAGUCAAAUAUUAAGUGAUUAAAUAAUGUUAUUUGUAACUUAUUAUCGUUUUAUUUUAGUGAUCACUUAAAACUUAAAGGGGUCUUUUUAUUGAAGAAGUUUAUUUCAGGUUUAUAUACCGCUAGUACUAAACAGUGUCCAGUAUAUCUCUAAAUAUGUACCUCUCCUUUGUAACAUUUUUAACUAUAAUUGCAGUAAAUACAGAAAAAUUAUAAAUUGUUAGCAUCAUUCUGAAAAGUGGGAAUGCAAUCGAUUGUUUUCAAUGUAAUUCAUCCCAGACUAUGGAAUGUGGCGACACACUUAUGAAACUCGAUGGUGGAAUAUUGGAGUAUAGUUCUUGUGAACAUGUUUACAAUGCACAGUAUUGUAUUAAACGGACAGGUUGAGAGAUGUGAUCAAGUUGAAUAUUUUGGCUUAAAAUUAUGCACAGAGCUGCACAAGAAUCACCUGUUUUUUUUUUCUAUUUAAUUUAUAAUUAGAACACAAUGUUAAUAUUAAUCACAGUAAAAUUUCAAUGUACACAAGUAUUGCCGAUAUUUCUAUAGUGCACUAGUAUUUUAGGUUCCAGCACAUGCAAGGUGAUGAGUGUUGAAUUUUAUUGUGGUAUCAUAACGAAAAGAUAUUGUUCGUCAUUGGAUUUAGGUAAUUAUUGCAAUUAUGUUAAGCAACCAGGGGACAAAAUGGAAUACAGAACUUGUAUUUACACAUGCAAUACAGAUGGCUGCAAUCAAACAAGUGCUAUUAAAUUAUCACAUUUUUUAAAUAUUUUACCAUUAUCUCUUUGUAUAUUUAAGUUUUUUAUGUACUGAAGCAUUUGCCAUAUUUAUACAAUACAAUUUUUGAUACAAUAAAGAGUUUUAUGAAUAAAA